UACGUAGGGACCAAGCGUUGUUCGGAUUUACUGGGCGUAAAGGGCGCGUAGGCGGCAAUUCAAGUCAUCUGUGAAAUCUCCGGGCCUAACCCGGAACGGUCAGAUGAUACUGCUUUGCUAGAGUGCAGAAGGGGCAAUCGGAAUUCUUGGUGUAGCGGUGAAAUGCGUAGAUAUCAAGAGGAACACCUGAGGUGAAGACGGGUUGCUGGGCUGACACUGACGCUGAGGCGCGAAAGCCAGGGGAGCAAACGGG
rnacentral:rRNA from 1 species